AGUCAUCAACGCAGUCUGUACCCCGGGGGAUGGGGAGGGGCAGGGGGGGGGGGGAUUGGUGAGGUCCCACCUGUAGGCUGAGAAGAAAAAGAUAAGAUACUGUACUGGACUUUAUCUCCGCUGAAAGCGUUGUGAAGAAUGAAUCUGAUUCAAACGUAGAAGAGUCAGUCGUCGCUCCCUCGUCAUCCCUCUUUCCCACUUUUCAUUCAGCGAAAGGGCUGAGUGGGUCCUGGUUAAAAGUAAGCUGACAAGGACUUUCAGCUUACGUGCUCCUCCUCACCAGAGGAACUGUGUCAGGUAUUCUGACCAGGCUCCGAGGCUGAAAAAACAGAGCCAUCUCCAAAAUUAAACGAGACUUCUAUUUUUGGAUGACCAAAGGAGCUUUAAAAUACUGAAAGAGCUGAGGAUACAGUGAAGGGAAAAUGAACAGAUGGAUGUGUCGCCAUAGAAAAAAGAGGGUCCGGAAAUGUGCAGUGAGCAGGUAUGAGCCAACACCAUAUCUAUUGCCUCAUCCUGACAAAUUGAAAGUCAGCCAUUUUAGGUUGGGUAAAUCUUGGAAAACAAUAGCAUAUAAAGAGAGAGAGACAGAGAGAAUGAAAGAGCUAGAGAAAGAAAAGGAGAGAAUUAAGCACACAUUGAGAGAAAGAGGGAAGAAGAAAGUGGGGAGGAGACAAGAUUGGGAACAGCAGACAGUUAUGUGUCAUACCAGCACAACUGCUUACAACACAAUAGCUGUUGGUCUCAUCUAAUAACUUUGCAUUGGGUAUGUAUGACAUCCACAGCACGAAAGUCACAAUUUUGGGGGGAGUUGUUCUUUUUCAUUAGGAGCAGGUAAGAUGUUAAGUGCACUAACUAAUGUAGAAAAAAUAGGAGCAGGCAAAAGACGGACCAUUUUUUUGGUAAAACUGCACUAUCAUUCUGAGUUUCCACAGUGGAGUUAACCAGAGCUAGUGAGAAGUACUAACGUGUCUGAGGGUUAAGUCGCACUGAUGUGUGUUCGUCAUCAUAUGUGUGUGUCCUGGCACUUGGCAGUGCCAGGCGAAGGUGUGGUGGCAGUCAUUGCAGGUGUUGUAGUGAGCGUUUGCGUCACAUCAAGUUCCUGUUGAACUAUGGUGAUAGGGUUGUGAGGUGUGUUAUGGUUUUAGGUAGAAUUCAGAUUUUGUGUCAAUUGGUGAAGAUUAUCUGAUAAAGUUGAAUGAAGUUGUUGCUGUUAUGGAGGAAACUAAGUUGUGUCUGUGUGUGAGUGUGUGUCUGUUUUGGUUGGGUCUGAGAGACAGAGUUGUGUAUGUCAGUAAGUGGUGAGUGUGUCUGCCUGUGUGUUUAUUGUGACUGAGAGAAAAAGAAAUGUUUCUGAAUGUGGCUGUUUGGGAGAGCAUGUGUGUGUUUUUUGGUGUUUGAGGGAGAGAGAUGGAGGGACAAAGAGAGAGAGAGAUUUGUGUGUUUAUGAGUGUGUGUUUGCUUUUCUGUGUCUGAUAGAGAAAGCGAGUGAUAGAAAAAUAUAUGUACGUGUGUGUGUGUUUAAAGAAGAGUACUGUUUGAGAGGAUGUGUGAACGUGUGUUUCCAGGGAAAUCUGGUUUGAGUGUGUGUGUGAACAGAAAAGAAUAGUGUGUGCUUAAAAGAACAAUAAGUAAGGGAAUAUUUUGACCAAAAACUCCCCCCAAAAUUUUCCGGUAGUGGUUUUUUGUCUUACACUCAUGGCUACACAGCUGUACGACAAGUACAAAUAUAAUAUAAUAAACAAUAUAAUACAAUACAGAAAAAAUACAGGAAGGACUUCAUAUUUGAUCAAGCAAAUUCAUACUUAUAAUUUAAACAUGUAUACAUGCAUUGAUAUGUUUAUACACACAUGCCUAUUUGAUAUUGUCAUAUACAUUACUUUGACACAUUUGUAAACUGUGAACCUGUAUUGGUAGUCAUAAGUAAAGGUGUUUUCUCUGUCUGUGUGUUUACAUACAGAGUACGUGUUUAUAUGUAUGUGCGUGUGUGUUCCUAAAAAGGUAGGAGAAAUAGAAAUGACAGAAAUUGAUUAGAAUGCCAGUGGGAAAGAAAUGUUAUGUGAACACAUCGGUAUGAACAAAGCAUGGGCCAACUGUGGGUGGGAGACGAUGUGUGUCUGUUUGACUUAGUGUAAGACUAUUAAUUGCCAAGAUACAAAUUGCAUUGGUGUGUCUAUGGAUGAUUAAAUGUUUAAUGACUCAAGACAUCCUCUUAGCGUCUUCUCUAUAGUAGUUCCUAUCACAUUUUUUCAUAAUAUUUCAAAUGUUUUCUUUACAGAAAAAUUGGCCAUGUGUAUAUUUAAAAACUGAAAUUCCUUGCCAUUUAUAUAUCGCACAAAAGGCAAAAGUACAGGAUAAGGAUGUUCAACAUGUUUUAAGACGUGCUAGAUAGAACUGUGUAUAAAAAUGUUACAAACCUCAGAAAUUAUUUGUAAGGUUCUGUUUGUAACUUUACCAGGUCUGACCU